GCAGCCGCGGUUUGGGGCGUCGGCUCACGUGGGGCCGGCUGCGCGUCUUCCAGGCUGUUCGCGCGCUAGUCGCCGCUGAGGGGCCAGCGAUGCGCGAGGAGUUCCGGCGAGGAGGGUCGGUCAGUGGACGUGGCCGAGGCCUACGGUUUCCGCGUGUGGGAGCUGCAAGGCUGAGAGGCCGCCCACGACCCUCGGGAAUUGUAGACGAGGUCUCACUAUGUUGGCCAGGUUGGUCUCGAAUUCCUGGCCACAAGCAGUUCUCCAGUCUGGGCCUCCCAAAGCGCUAGGAUUACAGGAACAGAAUUGCCAUUGGGCUCAGGGAGAGAUUACACUUCUUGUCUGCUUUGUUGCUAGUGUGGCCUUGUGGCCAAGCGCAGAACGUGUCCAGUGAUGAUGGUGCAACUUCUAGGUCGUCCCCAGCAUGGAAGAUGAGCCCUGGGCAUGGAAGAUGAGACCUGGUCCUGCAGCGGUGCUCUUUCCUCUUCUCACAAGCUGGAAUGUGAAUGUCCUCCCACCCAGCUUUGACCAUGGGGAGAAGAUAGUGCUCUGCAGUCUGGCAGAGCAACAAGGUGGAAAGGGCCUGGGUCCUUGAGUGACAUCAUGAGCCCUCUCACUGUCCUGGACCUUGGGACUGUUAUAUGAUAAGGACUUUCUGUGAGUCACUGUCUUUUAGAGUCUCUCUGUUUUAGCUGCCUGGACUUUAUCCUGAAUAAUAUGGCUGUUAUCAUGAGUAUAGUGUUAACUAUGAGCCUCAUCUAAGUAAUUUCUACUCUGCCUUUGACCACUAAACUCAUGUUGGACAAGAGUCACUUAGCAUUAUUUUUUCCUCAAUGAAGAAGUUAAGAUGGAGGGAGCAGGAAAAAUUGAGGCCUGUGUUUUACCAGAAGGUGAAGGGCUGUCUUUGCCUUUCCUACAUUCAUGAAGAAUAAUUCUAGACAAAAACAUUAAGCUCAUAUCAAACCAUCUGCUUUGUGAAGCCAUGGGCUUUGCUAGAACUUUCUGUGACAUGACAUUUAUUAACCCGAGUCUACCUGGAAGUUAGAGCUGAGGAAGUUUUCCUAGAGUGGAAAAAGUCCAAUGCACUUGUAAAAGUCAGACCAAGCUCAGCUCAGAUUCCAGUUUUAUUAGAGGUAUGUCACCUUCCUGAGCCCUUAUUAUUUCCCCAUCUGUGAAACGAGGACACUGCUUUCUCUGUCUAAGCGUUGCUGGGAAGAUCACACACCACUGAGACAGAAGGUGGGGCUAGCGCAGUUCUGGGCAUUUUGUAUACCCCCAGCAAAUACUGAUUUAUUUCCUUCUUUUUCCUUGCUCAGAAAAAAAUGGAGAAGCCUUUAUUUUAAAAUUCUGCCUGAAUUACUUUAUUACUUUAUUUAUGUAUUUAUUUAUUUGGAGACAGAGUCUUGCUCUGUCACCCAGGCUGGAGUGCAGUGGUGCAAUCUCAGCUCACUGCAACCUCCGCCUGCUGGGUUCAAACGAUUCUCCUGCCUCAGCCUCCUGAGUAGCUGGGAUUACAGGUGCCCACCACUGUGCCCGGCUAAUUUCUGUAUUUUUAGUAGAGACGGGGUUUCACUAUAUUGGCCAGGCUGGUCUCGAACUCCUGAUCUCAUGUGAUCCGCCCACCUCAGCCUCCCAAAUUGCUGGGAUUACAGGCAUGAGCCACUGUGCCCAGCCCUUGAAUUACUUUAGAUCCUACUUUUUAAGAAAAUAUUUGGCUGGGCAUGGUGGCACACACCUGUAAUCCCAGCACUUUGGGGGCCUGAGGCGGGUGGAUCACUUGAGUCUAAGAGUUCGAGACCAGCCUGGCCAAGAUGGCGAAACCCUAUCUCUACUAAAAAUACAAAAAUUAGCCGGGCAUGGUGGUGGGCGCCUGUAAUCCCAGCUACUUGGGAGGCUGAGGCAGGGAGAAUCACUUGAACCUGGUGGGCAGAGGUUGCAGUGAGCCAAGAUAGCACCACUGUACUCCAGCCUGGGCGACAGAGCAAGACUUUGUUAAAAAAAAAAAAAAGAAAGAAAGAAAAUAUUUGAUGUUCUUUUUAAAAUGUAUAUGGUUUACAAAUAAAGUUUACAAAUGUUUUUAC
rnacentral:lncRNA from 1 species